UACCCUAUUAUUCUUUAAACGAAUUAAGGUAAUAUUGUCUUUAUAUAAAACCUAUUUAUUUUGGCGGCAAUUAAUUUUAUUAAAGGAACUUGUUUAAUAAUCGAUAAUCCACGUUUAUUUUCACUUUAAUUAAAAAUUUAUAUAUCGCCAUUUUGAAUUAAUUUUCAUAAAAUACUCCAAAUAUAUUAAUAAUAAAUUAGGUCAAGGUGUAAUAUAUAUUUUAGAAUAAAUGAGUUACAUUGAAAAUCAUUUAAGGAAUAAUUAAUAAAAAUUAAAUAUGAAAAGGGAUUUGAAUGUAAUUCUGAAAUAAUAAUUCGGUAUGAAUAUAAUAGCGUUGUGCACAC
rnacentral:rRNA from 1 species